AUAUAUAUAUCAGUAUUAAACAUGUUGUCACUGUAGAACCUAGGUACAGUGCUGCUUAUUGAAAUCUAUGCAUGUUUAGCUUUAUAGAGUUGUAAGCAGUAAAACAUGCAUCUGAUGUAUCAGCUUUAGUGCUCUAAUAGAAAUGGGUAAUGUGCCUUAGUGUUAACAUUGUGACAAAGUGCAUCAACAUUGCCAAUAAAGCAACUCUUACUUGAUACAAAUUGAAUUUAUCAUUUAUUUAACACCUUUUCAGCAAGUCUACAGCCCUUUGUAUAUUAUACAGUCAUAUUAUACGGUUAUUCAACAGUGUGUACUUACAGAAAUUACCUAAAAAUAAAUUCACUUCUUUGUGGUCAUUAGGACAACUGCAGCAUAUGAAUAUACAUAAGAUACAAUAUUCGCAUACAUUGUAUCUUAUGUAUAUUCAUAUGCUGCAGUUGUCCCAAUUUGGGUGUUUGAUUUAUUUGAUAAUGUGACAUUGUAGAAAGCUGUUGACCAAAUCAUUACUGAAUGAGGUGAUACAUUGAUGAUAUGAUUAAACUAGAUAUUAUCUGUGAUAUCAUCAACACAUAUAGUAAUUAACAUCUUAAUAUAUCAAUGGAUAUCUUUUCCUAGUCUAAAAGGCUGUAACAUAACAAUGUUCCCAUGACCAGGAUUGCCUUUACUCAUUUUACUAUUAUAUCAACUUUACUCAUUGUAUAGUUCUUUUGCCAUAAUUUUCCAAACCUCAUAUGCAAAUUAGAGCCAUUUAUGCCAGUGACCACAGUCAAACACUUUAUUGUGUAAAAGAGUGCAAAGACACAGUUUGUUCAUUGAUAUCGUUGUCGACAAUAUACAGAAGUGACAGUAGUGACAUCACAUCAGUACCUGGAGACUAUUCAUCUCAACCUAAUCACCUGUACUCAGGCACUUUUAAGUUGUUUUUUUAAUAUAAAAAUAGGCUAUUCUCUUCAUCAAGUUGUCAAUAAGAUUACAUUUUCUUCCUAAUAAAAUAAGCUUUUAAAUGUA